UACGGAGGGUGCGAACGUUGUUCGGAAUUAUUGGGCGUAAAGGGCACGCAGGCGGCGUGUCAGGUCGGAUGUGAAAGCCCGGGGCUCACCCCCGGAAUUGCGUUCGAAACCGGCAUGCUGGAGUCCUGGAGAGGGAAGCAGAAUUCCUGGUGUAGGGGUGAAAUCCGUAGAUAUCAGGAGGAAAACCAGCGGCGAAGGCGGCUUCCUGGCCAGAGACUGACGCUGAGGUGCGAAAGCAUGGGUAGCAAACAGG
rnacentral:misc_RNA from 1 species